rnacentral:rRNA from 1 species
GCCUGAUCCAGCCAUGCCGCGUGUGUGAAGAAGGUCUUCGGAUUGUAAAGCACUUUCAUUUGGGAGGAAGGGUUGUGGGUUAAUACACUGCAGUUUUGACGUUACCGACAGAAUAAGCACCGGCUAACUCUGUGCCAGCAGCCGCGGUAAUA